UGAGAGAUUUUUCCAGGGGCAGAAGAGUUAGUAUGGAAUUGGUUGUGAUUCUUUUUGGGGAAGGCGGUUAUUAUCCCUUUGGCUUAAAGCCAAAUGCUGCUCAUGGAAUGAAUGAUCUUUCUCUGUUUCAUUGAGAACUAUUUUUCAUGAGACAGUGACAGAGACCCUACCUAUCUGAUAAG